rnacentral:tRNA from 1 species
GGAUUGUGGCUCUGUGGUAGAGCACUUGCCUUGCAUGCAUGAGGUGUUGGGUUCGAUCCUCAACACCA